rnacentral:rRNA from 1 species
AUUGAACGCUGGCGGUAGGCUUAACACAUGCAAGUCGAGCGGGGUGAUGGUGCUUGCACUAUCACUUAGCGGCGGAUGGGUGAGUAAUGCUUAGGAAUCUGCCUAUUAGUGGGGGACAACAUCUCGAAAGGGAUGCUAAUACCGCAUACGUCCUACGGGAGAAAGCAGGGGAUCACUUGUGACCUUGCGCUAAUAGAUGAGCCUAAGUCGGAUUAGCUAGUUGGUGGGGUAAAGGCCUACCAAGGCGACGAUCUGUAGCGGGUCUGAGAGGAUGAUCCGCCACACUGGGACUGAGACACGGCCCAGACUCCUACGGGAGGCAGCAGUGGGGAAUAUUGGACAAUGGGGGGAACCCUGAUCCAGCCAUGCCGCGUGUGUGAAGAAGGCCUUAUGGUUGUAAAGCACUUUAAGCGAGGAGGAGGCUCUUUUGGUUAAUACCCAAGAUGAGUGGACGUUACUCGCAGAAUAAGCACCGGCUAACUCUGUGCCAGCAGCCGCCGUAA